rnacentral:rRNA from 1 species
AGUGAACGCUGGCGGUAGGCCUAACACAUGCAAGUCGAACGACAGCACAGUAAGAGCUUGCUCUUACGGGUGGCGAGUGGCGGACGGGUGAGGAAUACAUCGGAAUCUACUUUUUCGUGGGGGAUAACGUAGGGAAACUUACGCUAAUACCGCAUACGACCUACGGGUGAAAGCAGGGGAUCUUCGGACCUUGCGCGAUUGAAUGAGCCGAUGUCGGAUUAGCUAGUUGGUGGGGUAAAGGCCCACCAAGGCGACGAUCCGUAGCUGGUCUGAGAGGAUGAUCAGCCACACUGGAACUGAGACACGGUCCAGACUCCUACGGGAGGCAGCAGUGGGGAAUAUUGGACAAUGGGCGCAAGCCUGAUCCAGCCAUGCCGCGUGGGUGAAGAAGGCCUUCGGGUCGUAAAGCCCUUUUGUUGGGAAAGAACAGCAGUAGAUUAAUACCCCGCUGUUCUGACGGUACCCAAAGAAUAAGCACCGGCUAACUUCGUG